rnacentral:lncRNA from 1 species
UUGACCUAAAAUUCCCAAUAACCCCUCUUCUUUCAUAAUCAACAGCAUCAUGAUUAUGAUUGUGAUUUUGAUUAUUAUUAUUCCUAUCAAAACCAUUGUAGUUUCCAUUGGAAGGCACUGGAGAGGAAUUAGCAAACGAAACAGUGGGUAAAGAUCCAAACUGUAACUUCAAUUCAUUCAAUUGGUGUUGCUGUUGUUGUUGGUGAAUGAAGGAAUUAACACUGUUGCUAUUGUUGUUUCCUUCAAUAGGAAACCCUAAUCUUCUUAAAUCUUCGGCGAGGGAAACACCGUUGUUGAAGUGAAGUGGAUUGGUGUUAGGGUAAUGAGUUUCGGGUAUUUGAGGGAGGGAAAACGGGUUAUGGGUUAACCCGAAUAUGUUUUGCGUGUAUGGAGAAGGUGUGUGGGACCAUGGUGGAAAAUUAGGGUGAGGGUGGUGAGGGAGAUAGUUAAGGUUGGGAUGAUCGUGACCGUUGGUUAGAUAUGGAGAUGUGGAGAUGGGGAUUGUGGGGCCCAUCAUGGCAACGGCGGGAUCUAUUGUAAGAGAUUGUAGAGGUGGGAUGGUUGGGGGUUGGGAUGGUUGAAGGUGAGGUUUUUGAAGAAGGGAGAGGAGAAAAUCACCGCCGUUGGAUUGCGGCGGUGGGAAGUUUCCUCCAUCGCCGUUCAUGGCUGCAGGAAUGGAGUGGCAGUGAGUUUUAGUUUGCGUUAGAGAGAGAGACAGGGAGACAGAGAAACAGAGAGACAAAGAGAAACUUAGUACUUCAAAGAAUGGAAAGUGAAAUAUAUAUAUAAAGAUAAUUUGGAAGAGUUUAAAUCGAAUUAGGAUUUAAGUGUAUCUUGUUAUUGUUAUCUUUUUUUUUUUUUUGCUUUACUUAUCUUAUCUUCUUUUGUUUUAAUGUGUAUUUUUUAAAUAGAUUUGAUUUUUAUUUAAUUAAAUUAGAUUUGAAUCGAAGUGAGCAAUGUAGAUUCAUCAGUUUAAACAUUAAUAAAAAAUAAGAUCAAAUAUUUUUUUUAUAUCCGAAUUAUUACCAAAAUCUAUAUAUAAUUGUGAAGUUAUAAUUUUAAGAUAAAUCAACAAUUUAUUAAUGAUGUUAAUAAUUAAUAUGUUAACAUUGUUAAUAUUCAUAAGUACCAUUAAAAAUUUAUAUAAUAAAAUUUUAGAUUUGAAUCUCACAUAUUUAACAAUAUCAUUAUUUAUUAUUUUGAUAUGAUUGUUUUUUAAAUAUUUAAAAAAUAUUCAAACAUUUUACACUGUAAAAUAUUUAAAUUUUGAUUUGUGCAAUAAUCUAACAAAGAAAAGAUUUUUUUUUUAUAUUACAAUUUAGUUAAAUAUAUAACUGUACAUAAAAAUUAAUCUCAAAAUAAAUAUAGUAUGCAUUAAAAAAAAUUACGUAAUGUAUGAUUUAUCGAAUCAAUAUGAUUUGUGCGGUGCGUCAUAUUUAUUCUCGAAGAAUAUUCUAAUAAAAUCUAAGGUCGCUAAAUUUGUUUCUGUUAAGUACAAUCAUGGGGAGCAGUGGAAAAAUAAAAGAUCUAAUUGAAAAUAAAGACUAAAGGUGUGAGCUUUUUUUGUAGUCCACCACUACACCACGUAAUAUCUAGGUAGAAUCUACCUGUAUAUAGAUAUAUAUCUAUUCUGCUACCCAUAUUUUCUUUGGAGAAAAUCAGAAAGUGGUAAAACAAUCAAAACACAAUUAAAUAAUAUUGAAAUAAAACAAACUAUUUUAUCUCUAUAAUUUUAUUUUUUAUAUUGAAAAUUUUUAGAUUCAUUGUUCAUCCGCAUAAAUAUAAAUUUUUUAAUAUAAAAUUUUGUUUUUCAAAUAUCCAAUUAAAAAAUUAACAUAUUCAAAAUUUAAAUUUUUUAUAUGUGAUUUAGAUUUUUGAUAUGUAAAGUAAAUUUUUUAGAAAUAUUUUCCAUGGCAGAAUUAUCUGAAACUCAAAACUUCCUAUAUGAAAUAAAAAUUGAAAAACAAAGAAUUCAUACUAGAAAUUUCAAAAACGAGUGAGGACCGAAGUAAACCUGAAAAAUACUCAACUAACUCAUAUUUAGUUCUUUCCUACGCACUUGACUUUCGUUCGACUAAAAAUAGUUGGACUACUCCAAAAUUCAAGUGUUUAUCAUUCUCGAUUAAUCAAAUACUUAUUUUUAGGUGUAAUCAUAAAGUUAUAUUCUAAAUUAAUUUACUAAAACUAUUCACUCAAAAAAUCAAGUUUAAAUCUAAGAAUUUUUUAUCUACUGAAAAAUUUGUAACAUUAUCCUGUUUCAAACAUUUCAAUUUUAGAAAAUUUUCAAAAGAUAUAAUUAUUUAAAACAUAAUUUUGUUUUGAAAUUUUAUAAAAUAAAAGAUCAGUUAUUUUAAAGUUCAUAGUCACUUGUAUAUGAUUUUUCCGAUAGUCGAAGGAAUAUUUUCAAUAUUUUUGUGAGGAUAUUGUGAGUAACUUAAAUUAGAACCAAUUUCUAUUUUCUAUUAAAAAAAAUCUAGUAGUUGCUAAAAAUAUCUCUUUCUUAUCAGAGUUUAAUGAAGAUUUCCAUUGUUAUUAUAAAUUAGUUUUUUACCGAAAUGAGAUAUCACAACAUUACCAUGAAUGUACUACUUUUUAACUACAAUUUAAAGAUAAUCAUAAAAUAUUAAAUUUUAUUGGAUGUAAAUGUAAAAUUUACUUUGAAUGUAAGAUAUUUAUAAACUUUUACACUAUGCGAAAAAUAAGAUUUUACAGCGCUUGUUUUAAGUCAUUUACAACAUUUUUUUAAAAAAAAAACAUUGUAGAAUCGAGCGCUGUAAAAAGAUAUAACAACGCUUUUUAAAAUAGAAAAGCGUAAAAUAUGCAAAUAUAUUGUGUGCGCUUGUUAUGCACAUUUUACAGCGCUUUUUUAAAAAAGCGUUGUAAUAUAUGCAAUAUAAUGCACAUUUUACAACGCUUUUUCAAAUAAACGCUGUAAAAUGUUCACUCAAUAUAUGCAUUAUAAUGCACAUUUUACAACACUUUUUCAAAUAAGCGCUGUAAAAUGUGCACUCAAUAUAUGCAUUAUAAUGCACAUUUUACAACACUUUUUCAAAUAAGCAAUUAAAUAUACAUAUCAAUUAAACAUACAUUUCAAUUAAUUAAACAUACCUUAUCAAGAGCAACAAGAUGUGUGGGUCAUGUCACGCAACUACCAACUGCUUCGCUCAAAAACCUCAUAUCUGCAUCGUUGUCCGGUAUAGGCAACAUUGCAUUUGGUUCCAAAGCAAUGACAGGUGAUACUUUGACAUGGAUCGCUGUGUUGUGCAAUACUUCUCCUGAAGUAUUGUACAAUUUUCCCUUUCCGACCUUCCGAUGAGUAGGGAAGGAUAAGUAUAGAACGCAUGGAGUGACACCAUAAAUCAAUGAUUAAUACAUAAGUAUGGUUAAUACAUAAAUAAUUACAUAAGUAAGUAAUUAAUUACCUCGGGAAGAGUUUUGAGACCAACGUUGCAACUCGCGUUUUCACUCUCCAUUUGGAGCUGAUCCGGGAGUUGCUUGUCUUUAUUCGUCUUCACCAAGAGUGCCACUUGCUCUGAUAGGAGUUUGAGCUUCUCUAAUACUUCCUCAUUGGAUGGAUUUUGGCGCUUCUCUUGUGAAAAAUAGCUUUUAGGAGUUACGCCAAAUCAUUUCCCCCUCAUGCGGUCGGAAUAUUCAUGAACAUUAAACACUUUACCCAGAAUGUUCCUGCAACUUUCUUCGUUGCCCUCUUUAUUUUCCGAAUUUUGUUCGAUAUUCUCCUAAAAUACAUGUAGGAUUAAAAAGAUAAGUUCAAUAUCAUUUUUAAAAUAUAAUAUUAAAAAAUAUUAAAGUGAUAAUAUACCAUAUUAAAAAAUAUUAAAGUGAUCAUAUACUUACACAAAGUUCUAUUAUUUUUUGAACAUUUUCAUUAUCAACCACUCCGUCCUUAUUUACACGAGCUUCCUUCCACAAUAUAUGACGACCCAACGGUUGAUCGGAUUGGGUGUCUUGUCGUUAUUCGUUAAGAUCAUAAACAAAAUAUUAGUUAUAAACUAUAGUUUAUAAUACAAAUUCCUUCAUUAUAUAAAAGUGAUGUUUAAUUACUUACAAGUUUUUGCUCUAGACGUGCAUAUCCCAUACGUGAUUUUUUGUAUGGGUGCGUCGGAUUUCUCGCCCUCUCGCGAUUUGCCUUACUUAUAUUCUAUAUAAAAACAAUAACAAUCGUGUAAAAAUUUAUAUAGUUUGAGUAAAGUAUUUCAAUGGAAAAAAUUAUAAAUGACAAAAGAGUGGAUCAAAAAAGUUAUCUGUAUAUCAUUCCACAAUAUAUCUUUGGCAUCCUUCAACGCCUUAUCUCUCCAGUCAUCGAUUGUAAUGGGGAUAUUUUGACGAACAACAGCUCCAAUGUAACUUACAAACAUUGAGUUGUUGGGGUCGAUUGGCUGACCACUUUCAUUCCAUCCAACCUAAUAAACUCAUAUAGUAAGUACAUGCUUUCAAAAAAGAUAAAAAAUAAACAGCAAACAAAGUAUAGUAUACCUCAAAUUUUAUCCCACUACUCCUUGCUUUUAUGACCUUUUGCAUUAUGGUUGCACCACGUUUGACUUCGUUUUCGUAAGUCUUGGUGUUGAAAACUUCCUCAUUUUGACAAUUCAAAGCCUUGUUAGAAUCCAUUUAUCUACAACAAGUUCAACAUGCAGUUCAGUAUAACUUCAACAAGUUCAACAUGUAGUAGUCUAAGUACGUAUCAGUAUAAGUUCAACAUGCAUUUUAGGGAUAACAAAAAAUUAAUAACAUCAAUACUUGAAUAGUGAGGCGAAAUACGUAGGGUUCGUAGGAGAAAUGCGCAGAAAUACGGUUCGGAGAAACUGAAGUAUGGUUCGAAGAAAUACGUAAUGAGGGUUAUGUAUUUCAAUGAAAAUAUAUGGUUUGUAAUGGUAAAGAUGAUCUUGGAUGGAAAUAAGGUUAAAAAUGAGAGAAAUGGUCGUGGAAAUAUGGUUCGUAAUGGAAGAGAUGAUAGGAUUUGCAAAGGAAGAGAAGAACGAUGAAGAAGAGAUGAUAGUGAAGUUUACAUAAUGAAGAGGAAACUGAAGUGGUUUACUAUUAUAUAUAAAACCCUAUUACAGCGCUUUUUUAGAAGCCUUUUACAACGCUUGUUGGAAAAACGCUCUAAAAGACCUAACUUUUAAAGCGCUUGUUGUAAACGCGCUCUUAAAGACCUAAGCCUUUUACAUCGCUUUUUCAAAUAAGCGCUCUAAAAGGCCUCCUUAUUUUAUUUUUAAAAGGCUCCUUUACAACGCUUGUAGAAUAAGCACUGUAAAAGACCUCUUUGUUUUCUUAUGUUAUAUGACUGUGUUUUUUAAAGGCCUUUUACAACGCUCUUUCAAAUAAGCGCUCUAAAAGGCCUCUUUAUUUUAUUUUAAAAUGCUCUUUUACGGCGUUUUUUCAAAUAAGCGCUCUAAAAGGCCCAUUUGUUUUCUUAUGUUAUAUGGCUGUUUUUUUAAAGGCUUUUUACAACGCUUUUUCAAAUAAGCGCUCUAAAAGACCUCUUUGUUUUCUUAUGUUAUAUGACUGUUUUUUUAAAAGAACCUUUUAACUUGGUAUAAAACAAAGCUAGUUUAUGUAACAUAAGAAAACAAAGAGGCCUUUUAGUUUAACUGGACUCUUAGUUUAUAUUCAGUUUAGUUCAUGUAAAUUACCUAUAUUUGGAUUUUUUUUUUCAGUUCAGUUCAUGUAAAUUACUAGUUUAUAUUAAAUUACAUGAACUUAGUAUAAAACACUAAGAUCAAGCUAAAUAUAUGCAGAAAAUCAAAUACGUGGCUGCUUAUAUAAAACAAUUAAACAUGUUUAAACAAAUAAAUUACAUGAAGUUUAUUAUUAAAAUAAAGUUUAUUAUUACAUGAAGUUUAUUAUUAAACAAAUAAACAAUUAAACAUGUUUAAACAAACAAUUUUAGUUACCAGUACUAAAAUAAAGUUUUCAAGUUCAAUAUAAGCAGAAAAUCAGUUAUGGCAGGUCAAACGUACAUUAAAUUACAUGAACUUAGUAUAAAACACUAAGAUCAAGCUAAAUAUAAGCAGAAAAUCAAAUACAGUUAAAGCUAAAUACUAAAAUGCUCAAUUCUGGUAGAUCAAACAAUUAAAUUACAUGAACUCAAUUCAGAUUACAUGGCUUAUAUAUAACAAUUAAACAUGUACAUUAAGAUGUCCUUCUUCUUUUCUUGUUGGGAUUCACAUUUGUUUGUCCAUUAUUAACGAUACGACACGAUGAAUUAAUCCAAAUUCCCCCAUCAUGAUCAUCUCUAAGAUAUAAACCAUCAUCAGUUGAAUCAAUUUCAUGUGGUUGUGAUGUUGCAAAUAAAAGAUCAUUACCAACAUCUUCAUCAUUAUUGUUAUCAUCACUUAUUUUAUUGGUCGAUAGGACAACAUACUAUUUAUCAUCAGCAGGAUCAGUGAUAUAAAACACUUGUUGAGCUUGCGACGCUAAAAUAAAAAGCUCGUCUUUGUAUCCCACCCUAUUAAAAUCGACAAGCAAGAACCCUGACUCAUCAAUCCGAACAUUAUUAUUAUUUUCGGCCCACUUGCAACCAAAUAUGGGAACACGAAACAUUGUGUAGUCUAACUCCCAUAUGCGCUCGAUAACCCCAAAAUAUGAUAGAUUUGCAUAUAUUGAGUUUUUGUCUUUUGCACUUGAGACAUGCAUUGCGUCAUCUACGAUAGUGACUCCAUUAUUUUGCAUAGUGGUCUGAUCAUCUUAUUUUUUGGUAUAAAAUGUGUAGUCGUUAAUUACAUAACCAGUGUAAGAAAAGACAUGUAAACUCGGAUAUAUACAUUAAGAUGCCCUUCUUCUUUUCCUGGUGACAUUCACAUUUGUUUGUCCAUUUACAAUACGAAACGAUGGAUUAAUCCAAAUUCCCUCAUCAUGAUCAUCUCUAAGAUAUAAACCAUCAUCAGUUGAAUCAAUUUCAUGUGGUUGUUGUGAUGUUGCAAAUAAAAGAUCAUUACCAACAUCUUCAUCAUUAUUGUUAUCAUCACUUAUUUUAUUGGUCGAUAGGACAACAGACCAUUUAUCAUUAGAAGGAUCAGUGACAUAAAACACUUGUUGAGCUUGCGACGCUAAAAUAAAAGGCUCGUCUUUGUAUCCCACCCUAUUAAAAUCGACAAGCAAGAAUCCUGACUCAUCAAUCCGAACGCCAUUAUUAUUAUCGACCCACUUGCAACCAAAUAUGGGAACACGAAACAUUGUGUAGUCUAACUCCCAUAUGCGCUCGAUAACCCCAAAAUAUGAUAGAUUUGCAUAUAUUGGGUUUUUGUCUUUUGCACUUGAGACAUGCAUCGCUUCAGCUACGAGAGUGACUCCACUAUUUUGCAUAGUGGUCUGAUCAUCUUGUUCUUUGGUAUAAAAUGUGUAGCCGUUAAUAACAUAACCAGUGUAAGAAAAGACAUGUAAGCUCGGACCAUUUGCUAGCCACCUCAAUCUAUUUGAAAUUGAUCCGGGGUCUAUAUCAAAUUUUGACAUUAUGUGAUUUUUUAACCAUGUUACAAAACUUCGAUUGUGCUCUCGAGUUAUCCAAUUUUGAUUCCUAUUCAUGUUCAAACGAGAUAACUGAUCAAUGUGUAUUGUAACAUACGGUUGAACCUCAUCAUCAUUGUGCAGAACAUACAAUUGUGCCUGCUCCCAUUCUGUCCUUGAUAUAGUCAGUAGUCUCCUUCCAGUUAUCCCUUCUCCUGAUAGUCUUCCCGAAUGACGAGACAUGGGAAGCCCUAUGGAUUCAACAUUGGACAGAUAUUCAGUACAAAAUUCAGCAGCCUCUUCAACAAUGUAUCGUUCAGCAAUACAACCUUCUGGUCGACUUCUACUUUUUACGUACCCUUUUAAUAUUUUCAUAUAUCGUUCUAUCGGAUACAUCCAUCUCAUAUAAGCUGGCCCACAAAGUUGUGUCUCCUUAACCAGAUGAACAGUAAGGUGAACCAUUAUAUCAAAAAACGAGGGUGGGAAAUACAUUUCAAGCUCACACAAAGUAACAACAAUUUCCCUCUGCAAUGUCGGUAAUUUUUUAGGAUCGAUCACUUUACUACAAAUUUUCCUGAAGAAGAAACAUAAUCUUGUUAAGGCUCGUCGAACUUUUUCAGGUAAAAUAGAACGUAUACCUAUUGGUCGCAAAUGCUCCAUUAGAAUAUGACAAUCAUGGGUCUUCAAACCUUUUAACUUGAGGUCAUUCAUACAAACCAAAUUUUUAAUGUUUGAGAGUGUCCUUCUGGAACUUUAACUUCGUGUAGAAAUUUACAUAAAACAAUUUUUUUCUUUCUAGAUAGAGUAUGAGCGGUUGGAGGUAGAUAUGUGCGAUUUCCUUUCUUUACGGGACCCAAAUCAUUUCUUAUUCCCAUAUCAACCAAGUCCAAUCUUGCAUUGAUGCCAUCUUUAGACUUUCCUAGAACAUUGAGUAACGUACCAAUAACACUAUCAAAUACAUUUUUUUCAAUAUGCAUCACAUCGAGGAAAUGUCUUAUAUACAAUGACUUCCAAUAUGGCAAUUCAAAGAAAAUUGACUUUUUCUUCCACCCAGUUUUCACCAGCUCUCCCGCAAAAGGUUUGCCAAAUUUAUUGGUCAAACCUUGUACUUUUUCAAGUAUUUGAUAUCCAGUCGGUGCUAAAGGAGCUUUACCUUCCUCUGAUUUUCCAUUGAAUGCAUUUCUCCACCCACGAUACUGAUGACUAUAAGGUAUAAAUCUACGAUGCCCAAGAAAUACAUUCUUCUUACAAUGUUUCAACCGCAUCCAAUCUGUACUCUUUUCAUAUAUAGGACAUGCACACUGACCUUUAAUGCUAUAUCCUAAUAAAUUACCAUAUGCUAGAAAAUUAUUAUUUGUGCCGAACAACAUAGCCCUCAAAUUGAAACAUUCUUUCCUAUACCCAUCAUAAACUUUCACACUUUUCUCCCACAUAAUUUUUAAAUCUUCAAUUAAAGGAGUCAAAUAUACGUCGAUAUCAUUCCCCGGUUGUUUGGGUCCAGAAAUUAACAGAAACAACAUCAUAAACUUACGCUUCAUACAUAACCAUGGAGGUAGGUUAUAAAUCAACAAAAUCACAUGCCAUGUGCUGUGUGAGAUGCUUUGAAGACCAUGUGGAUUCAUUCCAUCAGUAGAAAGUGCAAGUCUUAGAUUUCUUGACUCUAUCCCGAAUUCAGGAUACUCGUGAUCAAUUUUUGCCCAUUGUGGGGAAUCUGCAGGGUAAUGAAACUUUCCAUCUCUAAUUCUUUCAUCUGCAUGUCAUGUCAAGUGUUUUGAAUCUUCUUCACUGCGAUACAUGCACCUAAAUCUUGGUAUUAUAGGAAAAUACCACACGACUUUUGCUGGAGUAGAUUCUUUCUUCUUAUAUCGAGAGACAUUGCAUUUCGGACACGCCUUAAGUAAUUCAUAUUCGUUUUGAAAUAAAAUGCAAUCGUUAGGACACACAUGAAUCCUUUCGUAACUCAUGCCAAUAGAGCACAAAAUUUGUUUUGCCUCGUAGGUUCGACUGGGAAGUUCGUUAUCAUCUGACAACAUAUCUUUUAAUAGUGUUAAUAAUUCUGUGAAGCUUUUAUCAUACCAUCUAUUACUCGCUUUUAAGUUGUACAACUUUAAUAUCGCCGACAGUCUUGUGAAUUUAGUACAACCAUUAUAUAAUGGUUUCCCUGCAUCACUCAACAAACUCCCAAACAUUUUAGGACAAUCCCGAAGAUCUUCUUCAACUGCUUUUGCAAUCUCCUCAACUCGGUCCAGCUCAUAUGUAUCUAUAUCGAAGUCAGUUGAAGCAUAUGUCGAACCAUUCUCAAAAUUAAUGUUUCCUUUUUUUUUUUCUCACCAUGUCUUAUCCAACAUGUAUAACUUUGAUCAAUUCCAUUCCAUACUAAAUGUCCUUCCAAUUCAUCUUCUCUAACGCGUUUUCCAAAACAACAUUUUAAACAAGGACAAAUGACUCUAUUUGGAUCUUUUGCAUUCUUCACUGCAAACUCAACAAACUCAUUCACUCCAUUUUCAUACACUUUUGACAAUCGAUUGGCAGACAUCCAUUUCCGGUCCAUAUUAUAUGACCUAUAUAAAUGCAGUUACAAAAAUAAUAAGCUACUGAUAACAUCAACCAUUAUGUAACAAUUUCACAACAUAAAAGAUUUCAAAAUAGAACAGAUCAACAAAUUUCAAAAAAGAAAAUAUUUUAUAUGAUUUAUUAUGUAGCAAUUUAUUAGUUUUCGUGACAACAACAAAUUAAUAAAUACAUGAGACAACGUAUCCAAUUUUUUUUAAAGGAGAAGCAGUAGAUGUCUGCACAGUACGUAGAUGAGAUGAGGGUUCCCAGAGUAGAGGUGAUGAGGGUUCGUAAAUUUGUUUUAAAUUUGGUUUUAUUUAUUUAAAGUAAAUAAUUUUUAUUUAAAGUGAAUGUGAUUGAUUUUACAGCCCAUUUGUAGAAUAAGCGUUCAAAUAGGUUCUUCAAUUAUGUGAUCUUUUACAGCGCUUGUAACAAAAGCGCUCUAAUAGGUCAUUUAUUUAUUUGAAAGCGCAUGUCUUUUACAGCGCUUGUAAAAAAAGCGUUGUAAUACGUCAUUUAAUUAUUUGAAAGUGCAUGUCUUUUACAGCGCUUGUCCAAAAAGCGCUGUAAAACAUUAUGUGAGGGUGCUUCAUUAUACAGCGCUUGUGUAAAAGUGUUGUAAAAGCCUUGUAAAAAUUAUGCGCAAACGUUAUAUGACCCUACAACAACGCUUUUUCCACAUCGCUUGUCAAAAAAGCGUUGUUAUAUGCUCCGUUAUUUUUAAAAUAUAUUUACAAUAGCGCUUGUAUUUAGUAAGCGCUGUAAAAGACGCCCUAUAAAAUCAUAUUUUUGUCGUAGUGUUAGAACAUAGAAAAUAUGUUAGUGUAUGAAUUUAAAAAUUGUUAAAGUCUCAAAUUAAAAAGUUUUCAUACAUUGAGUAGUUUUUGACUCUAUAAAUAUUAAAAUCUCACAUUGGAUAUUUUACAUAUGUGAUAUUGUUUCUAUCACUAUAUAAAGAAUAUCAAGCUCUUGUGAAAAGUACACCAAAGUUUGGUGCAAUUAUCAAUUUUCUCUCUUCUCCCUUUUCUGCUCAUGCACUUCCAAGUCACUUAUCUCAUUUCUUUCAGUAGUCCUGGAACCAUUGUCCUUUCGAAUUUGAAAAAUUUUUUGUAUCAUAGUCCCUUUGAUUUUUUGAGUGGUCCUAAUAUCACUGUCUUUUCAGUUUUAAUGCAUUUUUUGUAUUGUAGUCCCUUUGAUUUAUGAGUAGUCUUAAGUACUAUAUUUUUAGAGUGACCAUUAUAGUCAUAUUGAAAGUGUAAUUCUAGAACAAUUAUUUAAUGUACAGUAGAAUUUUGAUACAUUUUGAUCUAGGUUGUUUUAUCAUGAGAACUUCGUGGUUGAUAAUCUAUCUUGCACAAUUUAGGCAGUAUUACGAAACAUCUUAACAAGUAAUUUUUAAAGAGUUUUUUUAAACUAAAAAACUAAUAGGAACCAAUAGUACAAUCAAUAUGUUUAAUAAACAAUAAAAUUCGAAUGAAUGUUUUAAAAUAUUUAAAAUAAAAAAUACUUGUGUAAAAAUCAUGUGGGAGUUAGAAGCUAUGGUUGAUUAUCUUUUAUUCUGAUGGAAAUGUAUGGUCCAGACCCUUUGACAAAAAAAUAACAAGUGGGAAAUGUCUAAGAGUAAAAAUAACCUAGGCAUAAUUUGUUAAAACAUGAAACAAAGAUGGUAAUCUAAGGUUUCUUACUUUGCAUUCAUGUUUUGAAUCCAUGAAACAAACCCUCAAUUAGGGUUAAUUGAAUCAGACAUGAGGGCAGCUAUCGAGUGAGCAAGAGUGACAAGAAAAGUAUAUGUUGGAAAAGUAUAUCUUGUCCAAGAGAUGGGGAAAUCAAUGUUGUUAUUUGCAAUAAGUCUUGUUUCUUCUCCUUAUAGUGUAUGUUUUUGCAAGAGUCUUUGUUGGGUUUUCCAAUUAAUAUUGUUCUACAUUAUAUCACCUCUCUUUCACAAUACCUCUUUACAACUAGAAAGUAAUGUAAGUUUAGAAAUAUUUUUACAUAUCCCUUUCUUAUUCGAAAAUUUGAUUGGUUGGUCAAAUAUUUUCUUUAAAGUUUAAUGUCUGGCUACCAUUUAUUUCAUGCAAGUGAUUUCUCAUUUUGUGUACAAUGUUUACUUAUCAACGCAUUUUAAUACACGUUUAUAGUAGUACAUUUUGUGUUUUUAGAUGUAUGUUAAGCCUAACAAUAAUUUUUUACCAUAUUUUUAUAUUUGUGAGUCAAAAUUAGGUUUUAGUGAAAUUUUUAGUUAAUAUUCAGAUUUUAUUACAUCAUGACCCCUUCUUCUUCUGCACACCAUAAAUUUGGGUUGUAUUUAUCCGAUUUUUAUAGAUCUUGAUGGUGUUGAAAAGUUAAGAAGAAGAGCUACAACUCUUACUUUGAGUAAAAAGCCCAAUUCGAAGGCCUUCAUUGUCAAAAAUGCAAAUUACAUAUGCUGAAAAAGUUAUUGCAGGAUUUACUUAUGUAAUUAGUUAUUAUUGGGCUGAUCAUCAUUUUUUAAACCUUUCUUUUGCUCAUAAAUAUUUUAGUAAUUCAAGUUAACCUAAGAUUAUAAUAUAAAUAGCAUUUUGAAGAGCUUUGUCACAAAGACCUUACUAUCAUAAUACAAUUUUGUCAUUUUCUAAAUACCAUGACAACUUAAGUUUCUAAAUCAAUUCAUUGGUUAAGGAUAUUUUGUUAGACUUUUGAGGUUUGAUUCUUAAUUUAAUAUAAUUUUAAGGUUUUAUAUCAUUUUCAGUCAAUUUCUCAUCUAUGCAUCAUCUUUGUAUAUGAAUUCAAGUUAUGUUUUGAUGCUUAAUCGAGCCAAUUUUGAUUUAUACCUUUAAUUGAGAUUAUUUGAAAUAGAUUGAACACUUAUUUUAGUUUAAAUAGGAAUUGAUAGAAUAUGUAAUACUUAGUUAUAGGUUUGGUUGAAUUAGGUUAUGACAUUAAUCAUAUUUUGUGACGUUUGUUUACUAUCAUGAUUAAUCGAACGUUGUGAUGUUUGAUCUAGUAUGUAUUCAGAUAAAAUUAAUUGGCACUUCCUUUGUUGGAACAAAUGUUUACUGAUAAUCUGUGAUAGAGUCCCGAUAUAGAAUUCUUAAAACCAAUGGAUUGAUUGUUUUGAUUAAUUGAUAAUUCUAUAUAAUUACUCAAUCUAUUUUUCAAACUGAAAACUCAUUCUUUUAUUUAUUUUGUUGCAUGUUCUUGAUUUUGAUUAUCGCUAUAUUUGAGAUCCUUGUGAGACGACCAAUGUUACUCGCCUUAUUACUAUAUUCUAUAUUUUUAUUUAUUUUGACAUGUGUGCGACAGCUUAUCACAUUGACACCGUUGUUAGGAAUCUCCAAUAAGGAUUACUCAAUCAAAGAACUCUACUAACUUUUCUAACAUUUGAUUUUGAGUGUUCAAUGUGUUUUCAAGUUCUAAUGUUGGACUAUGCAUUGAAGCUGAAAAAAUCUAUUUUCGGUCAACUUGCUCAUAUUGUUCUAAAUUUUGGAAGUUUUUAAUUUAAAUAUCUUUUUUUUUUUUUUAUAAAAAUUGUCACUAAAAUAUCCCUUAUUAAAAAUAUAUAUACUAAAAUGUUCUACUUUAUUUCACAAGGUCGUAUAUCCGCCCUGUGACCACUUGAAGGAAAAAAAACUUGACGCAGUAGGAGGUUGCAUUCCGAGGAUGCGACCAUGUACAAUGUUUUAAAUUUAUUUUCUUCUUCAUUUUAGCAAUUGAAUAUUUGUUAAUUUAAUAAAUAAAAAUAUUUAAAAAAGACAAAAUUCUAUUAAUAAAAUCAAAUAAAAUACAUUAAAUUGAAGGAAAAAAAUGUGUCAAAACAAAUUUAAUGAUUUAUUUUUAAAUACAAAGUGUCCAUUGAGAAUGUUACCGUUGGAAAUCUUCAAUCGUCAUUUAAGGCAAAUCAGUCUUUAAUAAGUAUCCAUAUAUAUUUUUGUGAGUGAUUCUACGUAUCUUGGUAUUGAGGACAUGGAAUCAGGGGAUACUAUGAUCAAAUAAAACCUUAAAGAAUUUUAGACAUGUAGUAGAUUUAGAAUGUUCAUCAAAUGAUGUGUGAAUGUUUGGUCUUUUUUGGAGCAUUGACUUUCAUUAGAUCUUUCACUUUUUCAGAGCGUUGACUUUUUCAGAGGAUACACAAUAACUCAGAGUUAGAGAUCAUAUGCUUUAUGUGAUUAUUAGAGGUAAUUACUUUUUGUCACGCUUAUUAGAGGCAAAGCUAGUACUUGCUUGUCAUGCUUGUCAGAUGUGGAGGCGUAUUCUUCUUUGUCACGCUUAUCAGAGGCAGACAAAAAGAUAUUUAUUGAAUCCAUCAGAGGCAGACGAACGAUUGUUUUGUUAAAUUCAUUAGAGCUAACUGAAUCAAGGCAUUGUUUGCACUUCCAAAGGCAACUAAGACAAAAUGUCGCUCGCAUCCUAGAGUCAAUCGAAGCUUUCUUGCAUUUUUUCCAGAAUGUAAUAACAAAGGCAUGUGUCACCACAUUUGGACUGUAGGAAAGCAGUAAAGUAUUGGUUUAUUUUGUCUUUGUUCAAUCAUCAUAAGAUAUAUCUUAUAUUGAGCGAAUGCUUUGUUUUGCACUUGUUUUUGCAAUAUUUCUUUUACUAUAUUAUAACUUGCUCCAUUAGCUGAUCUCUAAUAUAGUAGUAAUAUAAGCUACGUUAUAAUGGAUAGCUAUUAAUAUAACUCUUGUCUUUUAACUUAAUCUGCACACUUAACAAAUACAGUUAGAGAAUAAUUGUUCUUUGUUUGUUUGUUUUUGUUAUAAUCAAAACAUCAAACAGAGGAUUAUAACUAAAGUCACUUUUGCACUAACAAACAUUAGCCUAAUACACUUGAGAGAUUGAGAUAAUUUAAUAUCCUGUGAGGAUUCUAUCCGUUAUGACUCAUUAUUUGGUCGAUUUAUUAUCUUCUUUACUUUGAAUGUAAUUGGAUGUUUUUCCAUGAUUGUUAUGUUACUUAAAGUUUGAAAUGAGCAUUUCACUAAUCACUUGACAUCGUUGAAGUUUAUUGAAAUUGCAUAGUUAGUUUUCUUUAUUUCUUUUCUAAGUUUUGUUUAAUCUUGAAUACGAAUUUUGCUUAGAGUGCAAAAGGUUAAGUGUGGAGAAAUUUGAUCAACAUAUUUUAAUGUACUUUUUAUAGCAUUAAACUUUGUAUUUUUAGAUGUGUAUAGAACUAAUAAUAACUUUUUUUUACCAUGUUUUAAUAUUUUUUUGUCAAAAUUGAGUUUUAGUGAAAUUCUUAGUUAAUUUUUGGAUUUUGUUACUUCUUGACCCCUUAUUCUUCUGCAAACCAUAAUUGAGUUUGUAUUUAUUCGAUUUUAGUGAUAUAGGUGGCAUUAAAAAGUUGAGAAGCAGAGCAACAACUCUUAUAAUGAAAGAAAAAAAAAAAAACCAAUUCAAAAGUCUCGAUGGUAAAAAAUGAAAAUUACAUACUUUGGAAAAGUAAUUACAGGAUUUUCUGAUGUAUUUAGUUAUUAUUUGGCUGAUCAUCGUCUUUUGGGCCUUUUUUUUGUUCAAAAACCUUUUAGUAAUUCAAGAUUGUAUUAUAAAAAUGAUUUGGAAGAACUUUGUCAUAGAGACCUUACUACCAUCAUAUAAUUUUGCCGUUUUUUGAAUUCCAUGGCAGCUUAAGUUUCUAAAUCAAUCCAUUAAUUAAUGAUACUUUGUUAGACUCUUAAGGUUCUAUUCUUAAUGCAAUUUUGUUUUAUGUUUUUAUAUCUUUUUCAGUUAGUUUCUCAUCUCUGCAUUAUCAUUGUGUAUGAAUUCAAUCUAUAUUGUGAUGCUUAAUCAAUCUGAUUUCAGUUUAUAAUUCUGAUUGAGAUUAUUUGAAAUAGAUUCAACGCUUGUUUUUGUUUAGUUUGAAUAGAAAUUGAUAAAAUCAAUAAAAUUUAUUUAUAGGUUUGAUUUAUUUAUAGUUUUCCUACUGCACACAUGCAUGUUUUAACUAUAAAUACCAUUGGAAAUGAGUCUUGUAAAUAUAUGCAUCAUAAUUACUAUUCGAAAUUGUAACCCAUAUUAAAUACUCUAAUACUAAGAUAAUUUGGAUAUAGUGGCCAAAUAUUCACUAUUUUAUUUUUUAUUCUUUUAAUUACAAAAUAAAUCUUCUAAAGAAAUUGGGUCAUCAAAUUUAAAAUAAAACUAGCUGGCUAUUAUUGUUUACAAGAAAGUUUGUAGAAAGUCCAAAACUAUUUUUAUUUCUUUAAAAUAUAGAAAACAAACUCCUAAACAAUGUGAUUUUCAAAGACUAGUUAAAAUCACUUUCAGACUUCGUUAUUUUUAAAAGAAAUGGAUUUCAAAGUUUAGAUAAUAAUAAACUAAAAAAGUUGUCUGUUGAUAAAGUAAAAUAUUCGUGGUCUUUAAGUUCUAAUUCAAUUAACAAAUGUCGAUAUUUUUAUAUUGAAUGUCUUGUCUUAAUUUUGGGUCCAAAAACUCGCAGUUAUUUAUGAGUUUAUGGUGGUUUUUACCAUUUCUUCUAAAAAAAAGUAAAGCAUUUGCACACAAAAAAUACAAAGUAAAAUAUGAAAAUAGAAAAUUAUGGACAAUAACGUCUAUUUUUAUAAUUCAAGAUUAUAUGUUGUAUUCUCGUAUGUUUGCUAUUAUGUGUAUAACAUGCUGAAGUAUUUAUUUAUUUUUGUUGAAAUAAAUGUUUUGUUAACAUGUCAUUGUAAAUGGUUUAUUGUUAUAAUAAAUUGUUGUGUGUGAUAUGUUGUGGUGAUUUAUAGAAAUGCAAAUAUAUCAUUGUUAAUAAUUUAAUUUCGCAUAGUAUUGAUGAUUAAUUAGCAAGAUGUUUGCAUUCAUGGAUUCAUAGUUAAGUGAUGCGUCUAUAAUUGAUUAGAGUCCACGUAUUUUUGCGGAGAUUUUGAGUUUGUGAUAGUGGUGUUGUUUGGAAGGACCCACAAUACCUUUGUAGGGGAGGUGAUAUUUCGGAAUCAUUUGCAUUGAUAUAUGCAUUGUAUUUAGGUUGGAGUUUUACUAUUUUAAAAUAUGUGGUGCAAAUAUAUAUGUAUGUAUGUAUGUUGUAUGUAUGUAUGUAUGUAUGUAUGUAUGUAUGUAUGUAUGUAUGUAUGUAUGUAUGUAUGUAUAUAUAUAUAUAUAUAUAUAUAUAUAGAUGUCGUUUACUUGAUACAUGUAAAAUUUGUUUAUACUAUAUAUGUUAUUUGUCAUGUACUUGUAUAUAUAUUUUUUCGGAUUGACGAUCAUUGUUGUUGAUUUGUUUAGGCUAUACGCCACCUCCUUAGUUGAUGAAGACGUGGGAAUGCACGAUAAGGCUAUCGAUCAAAAAUUAGGGGAUACUUUUGUAUUGAUGUCAGAUUUGUUGUGAUAGUUUUCUACAAAUGUCUAAAGUUAUGACAAACUAGAAUUUAUUUUUUGUUAGUAAAAGGGAAAAAGUCUUGAUUUUAUGAGUUUUUUUUGUUUUACGCAUUAAGUUUAUUACUUGUAAUUGUGACUACUUUGAUUCAUUAUCUUUAAAAAAUACAAUUGAAUAAAUUAUUAAUUGAUUUUAAAGUAAAUGAGUAUUUUAAGAUAAUCUUUUAAAAAAAAUGAAUUUGUCUGGAAGUUACAAUGUUCAACGAGACUUGUGAAAUUUUGUUGAAUACUACUAAGAAUGGAACUAUAGAUGCUCAACAAUUUGAUGCAAAAAUUGCUUAUGAGUUGCUAAUUUCUUUAGAAUUUGUCUUUCUUAUGCAUAUUAUGAGAUAUACUUUCGAAAUUUUUAGUCUCUUAAUUACAGAUAUUUUUAGUAACAUGAUAUUCCAGAUAUUUUUAAUGAUAUGAUAUCUCUUAAUUUCAAGAACUAGUUGACAUAUUCACUGAUAAUGCAGUAGAAUUAUGAACUCUUAGUUCAACUUUAGACGUAAGAGAGAUGCAAAUAUCAUUCAAAGUUGACAUAUGUCACUUGGUAACAAAUUUUUUUAAGACUUUAUGAAAUAUAGACGAUACAAAUGAGUAUGCAAUUUGAACACUUGAAUCAUGUUAGGCAACAUAUUGAUUAUGUCACUUGAUGGUAAAAACCGAUGUAUUAAUUCUUUUAUAUAGAUCGAUAACUCUAAAGGGUCUGUUUGAUUUGCUUUUCAAAAACAGUAUUUUAGUUUUAAAAAAAUUAAAAAUUAAAAAAUUUGUUUGAAAUGUUAAUUUUUAAAUAUUAGUUUUAGAAACUAUUUUUAAUUUUCUGUUUUAAAAACUAAAAAAUAGAAAGAGUUUUAAAUAAUUUUCCUUUUCAGUUCUCUAUUUUUUUUUUUAAAUUGAAAACACCCGGAGAAUAGGUAAUUUUCAUUAAUGACAUUAUAGUAAUAUUUUACAAUUUAUUUUAUAUAAAAAAAAUAGCAAUCAAAUGGAGCCGCUACAUGAACAAAUCCAUUUGUAUUGUUCACAAACCCAGGUGGAAGCCAAACUUGUUCAGUGGAUAUUCCAGUUGACCUAAAAUUCCCAAUAACCCCUCUUCUUUCAUAAUCAACAGCAUCAUGAUUAUGAUUGUGAUUUUGAUUAUUAUUAUUAUUCCUAUCAAAACCAUUGUAGUUUCCAUUGGAAGGCACUGGAGAGGAAUUAGCAAACGAAACAGUGGGUAAAGAUCCAAACUGUAACUUCAAUUCAUUCAAUUGGUGUUGCUGUUGUUGUUGGUGAAUGAAGGAAUUAACACUGUUGCUAUUGUUGCUUCCUUCAAUAGGAAACCCUAAUCUUCUUAAAUCUUCGGCGAGGGAAACACCGUUGUUGAAGUGAAGUGGAUUGGUGUUAGGGUAAUGAGUUUCGGGUAUUUGAGGGAGGGAAAACGGGUUAUGGGUUAACCCGAAUAUGUUUUGCGUGUAUGGAGAAGGUGUGUGGGACCAUGGUGGAAAAUUAGGGUGAGGGUGGUGAGGGAGAUAGUUAAGGUUGGGAUGAUCGUGACCGUUGGUUAGAUAUGGAGAUGUGGAGAUGGGGAUUGUGGGGCCCAUCAUGGCAACGGCGGGAUCUAUUGUAAGAGAUUGUAGAGGUGGGAUGGUUGGGGGUUGGGAUGGUUGAAGGUGAGGUUUUUGAAGAAGGGAGAGGAGAAAAUCACCGCCGUUGGAUUGCGGCGGUGGGAAGUUUCCUCCAUCGCCGUUCAUGGCUGCAGGAAUGGAGUGGCAGUGAGUUUUAGUUUGCGUUAGAGAGAGAGACAGGGAGACAGAGAAACAGAGAGACAAAGAGAAACUUAGUACUUCAAAGAAUGGAAAGUGAAAUAUAUUUAUAUAAAGAGAAUUUGGAAGAGUUUAAAUCGAAUUAGGAUUUAAGUGUAUCUUGUUAUUGUUAUUUUUUUUUUUUUUUGCUUUACUUAUCUUAUGUUCUUUUGUUUUAAUGUGUAUUUUUUAAA